UCAAAGCUCAAAAUUUCUCGGAUCGAAUCAAGCUACUGCGAAAUGUGGAAAAUUUGGAAAACGAAGUAUUAGAAGUGAGAGAAUUCUAGAAAUUUACACAAACUGAGAUUGUGCGAGACCUCCUUCGCGGUCAGCCCAACAAAAACGACUCUCUCUCUCUCUCUCUCUCUCUCACUCAUUGUCUUUUUCUGAGUUUACAACUACAAUGGCGUCGCCUUCCGAUCCCUCCAACCAGCAGACUGCUGCUAGGAAACAAAACAAAGGACCCCCUUUGAAAUUUAUGUUUCCCCUAAUUUAUGCUCCUGUUCUUCCUCUCAUUCGAAUUCAAUUGCGACAUAACCCUGUUUUGAGGGACCGUUUGUUCACUGUUGUGCUUGCUGGGGCAUUUGCUCGU